GACUUGGUGGUGAAUGGAUCACACCCACCCUCCUUUCCAGGUUUUGUAUUUGUACAGUGGGAGAGCCCGGUUCGAUUCCGGGCCAGGUCA